UUUGAAAGCCACAACGAACCUGUCAGGGCCCAGCAGUCACCUUCCUACAGUUUGGAACAAGUCCAGUUUCCAGUUGUGACUACAUAAAGCAAAACCCUGUAACCUUCAGUGACAGCACAAAGGGAGCUGAAUUCUGCAUUACUAACAGCAAUGACCCCAACACAAUGCUCUUGGGACACACAGGAGAAAAGUAUCUCAAGAGUACUGGCACCAGAAUUAAGAAACUAGGAAAAAAAUAGCCACUUAUGUGGUGUCCAGCAGCCUUAAUAAGGAAAAGCAGAAUUUCCAUCACCUUGGGCAUCCAUUCUGAUGACUCAAGGGCAGAGAGGAAUCUAACAAGCCUAUGUUCCUCUCUUUAUAAUAACUGAAAGAAAGAAAGAAAGAAAGAAAGAAAGAAAGAAAGAAAGAAAGAGAAAAUGUGACUUCUAUACGAGGCAGGUGGUGAAAAGAAAAGGCUGUCCCACACACCAAAAGUAAAGGUGAAGAGGUUUCAGCUUCUGUUUUUGGAUUCCCCUAGACUAUUGGAUCCCUCUUGGCCUAAUGAAACUAUGUGUUUGCUGUGAAGUAUAUAAACAAGCUGAGGUCAGAAUCCUA